CGAGAGGCUGGCGCGGGCGGACGCAUCGCCAACCCGGUCAGGUCCGGAAGGAAGCAGCCGUAACGAAAUUCGUUCGGGUCGCUGUCCAGCCUCUCACCC
rnacentral:SRP_RNA from 1 species